CAAGGGCGUAUAUUAAUGUUGUUGCAGUUAAAAAGCUCGUAGUUGGAUUUCUGGUGGGAGCGAUCGGUCUGGCGCUUAGCGCGAGUACUUGCAUCGUCUCCGGCCAUCCUUGGGGAGAGUCUGUCUGGCAUUAGGUUGUCGGGCAGAGGAUCCUCAUCGUUUACUGUGAAAAAAUUAGAGUGUUCAAAGCAGGCUUAUGCCGUUGAAUAUAUUAGCAUGGAAUAAUAAGAUAGGACUUUGGUACUAUUUUGUUGGUUUGCGCACCAAAGUAAUGAUUAAUAGGGACAGUUGGGGGUAUUCGUAUUCCGUUGUCAGAGGUGAAAUUCUUGGAUUUACGGAAGACGAACUACUGCGAAAGCAUUUACCAAGGAUGUUUUCAUUAA
rnacentral:rRNA from 1 species